rnacentral:rRNA from 1 species
UACAGGGGGUGCAAACGUUGCUCGGAAUCAUUGGGCGUAAAGCGCACGUAGGCGGUCUGUUAUGUCGGAUGUGAAAGCCCUUGGCUUAACUGAGGAAGUGCAUCCGAAACUGGCAGGCUAGAGUACUAAAGAGGGUCGCGGAAUUCCCGGUGUAGAGGUGAAAUUCGUAGAUAUUCGCAAGAACACCAGUGGCGAAGGCGGCUCACUGGCCCGGUACUGACGCUGAGGCACGAAAGCGUGGGGAGCAAACAGG